GCAAUCAUAUAAACUGUAUCCUUAUUGUAACAAGUCUGCAAUUGUUAAGCAGCCAUUGUUUAAAAUAUGUUCUUAAUUAUUUUUAUCACCAAGUUUCAUUGUAGUUUUCGAUUAUAGGUCAAAGGUUGAUUGUAUAAUUUGCUGUUGUUUAAUAUAAUAAUGUUCAAUGUACGUGCCUUAUUGAUAGAUAUAAAAGGAAAUUCAAAAUAUCUACGCAAUAAACAUAGUGUUCAAUAAAUGACAUUUCUUCUUUGGCUUAUGCAAAUUCAGUAUGGUAUCAGUGGCAGCAACCACCAUACAUGAUGCUGCCUUUACAGAGAAAACAGUUUUUAUACGACCGCAAAAAAAUUUUUGUGGUCGUAUAUUGGUAUGACGUUGGCGUCGUCGUCGUCGUCGUCGUCCGGCGUCGUCCGAAGACACAUUGGUUUUCGCACUCUAACUUUAGAUUAAGUGAAUGGAUCUUUAUGAAAUUUUACCACAAGGUUCAAUACCACAAAAGGAAGGUUGGGAUUGAUUUUGGGGGUUAUGGUAAUAACAGUAAAGGAAUUAGGGGCCAAAAAUAAGCAUUUUUGUAACUUCCAGACAUAACUUGUGUGUUAGUGUAUGGAUCUCUCUGACAUUGUACCACAAGGUUCCAUAUCACUAAAGGAAUGCUGGGAUUGAUUUUGGGGGUAAUUGCCUCCAAAUUUUAGGAAUUAGGGGCCAAAAAAGGGGCAAAAAACAAGCAUUUUUCUAGUUUCAUGACAAUAACUUGUGUGUAAGUGUAUGGAUCUUUCUGAAAUUGUACUACAAGGUUCCAUAUCACAAAGGGAAAGCUGGGUUUGAGUUUGGGGGUAAUUGCCCUAAACGUUUAGGAAUUUGGGGCCAAAAAGGGGCCAAAAAACACAUUUUUUUCUAGUUUCCAGACAAUAACUUGUGUUCAAGUGUAUGGAUCUCUCUGAAAUUAUACUGCAAGGUACCAUACCACAAAGGGAAGGCUGGGAUUGAGUUUGGGGGUGAUGAAUCAUAAUGGGGGUUCAAAAAAUUUUGGGGGGGGAUUUAUUUUUUUUUCCUUUUUUUCUUUUUUUCCUUUUUUGUUUCUUUUAAAAUUUUCCAUUUUAAGUUGGUUAUUUCUGAUUUAUAUUUAAAAUCAAAUAAUAAUGAUAUGGUAGGAGAUACACACCAAACAGGAUGUGUAAAUUAUUAUAUAAUAAGUAUUGUGCAAUAGCAAGAAAUUUUCAAUUGCACAGUAUUGCACAAUAGCAAGAAAUCUUCAAUUGCACAGUAUUGCGCAAUAGCAAGAAAUCUUCAAUUGCACAGUAUUGCGCAAUAGCAAGAAAUAUCCAAUAGCACAAUAUUGCGCAAUAGCAAGAAAUUGUCAAUUGUACAGUAUUGCGCAAUAGCAAGAAAUAUUUAAUAGCACAGGAUUGUGCAAAAGAAGAUACUUCCUAUAAAUUGCUUAUUUCUUGACCAAUUUCAAUGGGGUUUUAUUCUUGAUUUCAUGGGGUUCUUUAAUAUGCUGAAUCUAACCGUGUAUUUAGUUUUUGGAUUUUGGGCCCCGUUUUUAAAUUGGUCCACAUUGAGGUCCAAAGGGUCCAAAAUUAAACUUUGUUUGAUUUCAUCAAAAAUUGAAUUAUUGGGGUUCUUUGAUAUGCCGAAUCUAACUGUGUAUUUAGAUUCUUAAAUUUUGGUUCUGUUUUCAAAUUGGUCUACAUUAAGGUCCAAAGGGUCCAAAAUUAAACUUAGUUUGAUUUUAACAAAAAUUGAAUUCUUAGGGUUCUUUGAUAUGCUGAAUCUAAACAUGUAUUUAGAUUUUUGAUUAUGGGCCCAGUUUUCAAGUUGGUCCAAAUCGGGGUCCAAAAUUAAACUUUGUUUGAUUUCAACAAAAAUUGAAUUCUUGGGGUUCUUUGAUAUGCUGAAUCUAACCAUGUAUUUAGAUUUUGGAUAUUGGACCAUAAUAGGUGAAUCUUUUUAUUUAAAAUUUUUAAGUUCUUAGACCACAUUCAAUCUGUGUUAGAAACCUAUGCUGUGUCAAAUAUUUAAUCACAAUCCAAAUCCAAAGCUGUAUCAAGCUUGAAUGUUGUGUCCAUACUUCCCCCAACUGUUCAGGGUUCGACCUCUGCGGUCGUAUCAAGCUGCGCCCUGCGGAGCAUUUUAUUUUAAUUAAUAUUAAUCUUGUUUAUAAACUGAGAAUUGAAGUAGAUUGCUUUAAAUUUUUAACUAAUGGUACUAAAAAACAACUCUGAACAACAUUUGUGGGAGAUGCCUUAAAGUAUGUCACAAAGCACAUUUUGGUAUAUUUUUUGGUUGAUUCAAUAUAAAUUGAACUUUUCAUACAAGGGUUAAUUUAUUAUUUGAAACAAAAAUUGAAAAAUACUUAAUCUUAUUUUUUAGUAGACCAUUGUAUACAGAUGGCUUUAACUUUUUUAAAGGUUUUCUUUUGUUCUGAUCAAUAAGACAAAAUUUCAAAGAAAACUUACAUACAAAAUAACAAGGGAGAUAACCAUAGUUUUUCAAGUUUUUUAUUUAUUGAAGGCCAAUACAACAUUUAAAUUUUCUGAAUGUGAUCCUUAUAGAAUGAUGAUCUUCUGAGAGCCCUAGACCUACCAAAAACUCAUGGAUGUUUGCUUUUUGUUAUUUUGUAAACAUAGGUGUCAACUAUUCAGAUACCAGACAACAUGUCAGAGAGAACCUUGUGAUUUCGGACUCUUUGGCCAUUAUUUAAUCAUCUGAAUUUGAUGUUGUGUAAAAGUGACAACUUAAUGUUAAAACAAGCUUUGUUUUAAACAAUUCAAAGUUUAAAAAAAAAUCUUCCUGUAUGGUAAGUGUCUUGCUCAUUGUUGAAGGCCAUACUUUGACCUGUAAUUGUUCACAUCUUUGUCAUUUGGUCUUUAUCAUGUUUAUGGAUAUUCGUCUUGAUUACAAUCAUAGCAAAUCUCUUUUUUUUUCUGAAGUGUUUUAAUUAAUUAAAUAAUUGUUGAAUAAAGAUUGUAUGAACAAAAAUAAUUUGACAGCAAAAAGUCAAAUUAAAUAUCAUUAAAAAUAACAUGCACAUAAAAAAUCCCAAGAAAUCUCACACUUUGUAAAUCUAAAUAGUUGACACCUUUGUUUGUAAUUACUAUAACUCAGUAUGUUUUCAAUUGGUAAACUAUCAUUACAGAACCAUAUACAUUGUCAUAACAUUGAUAUAGCUAUUACAUGUUAUUUUGGGCAUUAUCGGCUGAUUAUAUAUUUUUAUUUUUAUGUUUUAUAUUCGUUUACAUGAUCAAUAAAGAAAUAGAAAAGUA